rnacentral:rRNA from 1 species
GGAAGCUUGGUGCUGCCAGAUGACGACUGGCGCACGGGUGCGUAACGCGUAUGCAACCUACCUCUUACUGGGGGAUAGCCUUUGGAAACGAAGAUUAACACCCCAUAGUACCGUUUACCCUCCUGGGUUUUCGGUUAAAGGUUACGGUAAGAGAUGGGCAUGCGUCCUAUUAGCUAGUUGGUAUGGUAACGGCAUACCAAGGCUACGAUAGGUAGGGGCCCUGAGAGGGGGAUCCCCCACACUGGUACUGAGACACGGACCAGACUCCUACGGGAGGCAGCAGUGAGGAAUAUUGGACAAUGGGCGGAAGCCUGAUCCAGCCAUGCCGCGUGCAGGAAGACUGCCCUAUGGGUUGUAAACUGCUUUUGUACGGGAAGAAACACCUCUACGUGUAGGGGCUUGACGGUACCGUAAGAAUAAGCAUCGGCUAACUCCGUGCCAGCAGCCGCGGUAAUACGGAGGAUGCAAGCGUUAUCCGGAAUCAUUGGGUUUAAAGGGUCCGUAGGUGGGCCGGUCAGUCAGAGGUGAAAUCCUGCAGCUUAACUGUAGAACUGCCUUUGAUACUGCCAGUCUUGAGUCAUUGUGAAGUGGUUAGAAUAAGUAGUGUAGCGGUGAAAUGCAUAGAUAUUACUUAGAAUACCGAUUGCGAA